rnacentral:rRNA from 1 species
GACGAACGCUGGCGGCGUGCCUAAUACAUGCAAGUUGAGCGCUGAAGGUUGGUACUUGUACCAACUGGAUGAGCAGCGAACGGGUGAGUAACGCGUGGGGAAUCUGCCUUUGAGCGGGGGACAACAUUUGGAAACGAAUGCUAAUACCGCAUAAAAACUUUAAACACAAGUUUUAAGUUUGAAAGAUGCAAUUGCAUCACUCAAAGAUGAUCCCGCGUUGUAUUAGCUAGUUGGCGAGGUAAAGGCUCACCAAGGCGAUGAUACAUAGCCGACCUGAGAGGGUGGUCGGCCACAUUGGGAAUGAGACACGGCCCAAACUCCUGCGGGAGGCAGCAGUAGGGAAUCGUCGGCAAUGGACGAAAGGCUGACCGAGCAACGCCGCGUGAGUGAAGAAGGUUUUCGGAUCGUAAAACUCUGUUGGUAGAGAAGAACGUUGGUGAGAGUGGAAAGCUCAUCAAGUGACGGUAACUACCCAGAAAGGGACGGCUAACUACGUG